rnacentral:lncRNA from 1 species
GGAACCCGGCCGACAGAAGAUGGCGGAUGAGCAGCGUGCAGGGUUUUCUCCCUGUGGCUCACUCUCUCUUACUGUGCUGGGCGGUUGCUUCCUCUCCUGCUGCCCUUGGGAGUCAGACUCCAGGUUCUUCAGCCUGUGGCCCCUGGGGCUCUCGGGCCUUGGAGGACUGACUAGGAGCACACGGUGGGCCUCUCUGGUUUGGGGGCCUGGGACGUGGCGGAGCCCUGCAGCUUCUGUGCGGCCUGUUCUGGGCGUCGCGUUGAAACGCCAGCCAGUUCCCCAAUCCCCCUGGGAUUACAGGAGUGUUGAAGAAAUGUUGUGACACAUCAGAACACCGCGAAAUACAUGGACACUUUCAAAUCAUGGAAGACUCAAGAGUCCUUGUUUUUGCCCAGUAUUAUAAACUGAGUUACAUAAAGGCAGAGCAAAUGCUAAAGCAAACUGUCCAGAAGGAAGGACAGCAGUAAGUGGAGAGACGUUAUUGCAAACAAGCACCUGGCAACAGCUGUGUUAGUUGCCCACCAGGUAUUUUUGAAAAAAGUACUCUGUGAAAAACAGAAACUGCAAGCAAGACAGAUACCAGGAUUAGGGAUCACGGUGACUUCUACCAUCGCUGGAUACUCCCAAAAGGGUUCUCGAGACAGCAGCUGUGUCUGCCCUGCUUUGGCAUUCUUUCCCAGGCAUGGCGACCGUAAGUCAAAAUGUAAUCCUUAGCUGGUCAUACAAGCCCUGUCAUUACUCAUAUAUGCAGAUGAUAUUUUAAAUUCUUCCAGUUUUUUUUUAGGGAGGAGUAUUAAAACAUGAGUAAAAAUUAAUUUGUGGGCUCACUGACAAUGGGGUUUAAUUUGCAUUUUUAUCCUCAUUGAUUAGCACCAAGCCCAGAAGAACUUGUGUUCAUUAAGAACUUGUUGAUUGAGCAGCUAGAAAGGGGCUUGUCUUCCAUAAGGAGAUCUCUACUCUUGUGGGUUUUACUCUCUAGCAGAGGGACAUGAGCAACAGACAAUAAAAUAAA